rnacentral:lncRNA from 10 species
CAUGGGUGUGGAUCCAUCAUGAAUAAAUUAAUGCCUUUGCUGUUGGUGGGGGCAGGGAGCAUGGUACAGGGGUGACUGAGUUCCUGCUUUGUUAGUUCCCACUGAAACUGAUUGACAAAAAGGGCCUGGCACCUCUCUCUUCUCUCUCUUUCUCUCUCUCACCAUGUGAUCUAUGCAUGCCUGUUCCCGUCUGCUUGCACUAAGAAUGGAAACAGCCUAAGUUCCUCACCAGAAGCAGAGGCUGGCACCAUGUUUGUUAUGCAGCCUGCAGAACCGCUGGGGACAGCUCUCUGAAAAUAGGAAUAAAUAGUGGCUCCUCGAUAAACACCUUCUUGCCUACAGCAUGUGUGACUGCAAACACAUUCCCACUUCAACUAAUCCAAGACGAGAAGGAUGACAAAAUAAGAGAAAUCAUGGGAAAAACUGCCCAUUUCUGUUUUGUCCACUUUGCUUUGGGAAGUGAGAGCUAUAGUCAUUAUCACCACAUCCCCUGGCAUCCAAUUCCACAUUCUACCUCAGAAGUUAUUUGGAGGAAUCCAAGGACUUAGAUAUUUUACCAAUGUCUCUGGUGAUUUUUAUAUCGGUGGCCCAUGGGUGUUGACCUAUGAAACUGCUCUGCAGCAGAUAUUGAGAAAUAGGAGUUCAGGCUCCUAGGAAGAAGGAACUUGCCUUGUCUCAGAUCAGACUUUUGGACUUGGACUUUUGAGUUAAUGCUGGAAUGGAUUAAGACUUCGGGGGACUGUUGAGAAGGGAUGAUUGGUUUUGAAAUGUCAGGACAUGAGCUUUGGGAGGGAUCGGGGCAGAAUGAUUUGUGUCUCCACUCAUAUCUCAUCUUGAAUUAUAAUCCCCAGGUGUGGACAGAGAGAACUGGUGGGAAGUAAUUGAAUCAUAGGGGCAGUUCCUCCCAUGUGUUCUUGUGAGAGUGAGUUAGUUCUUUUGAGAUCAGGUGGUUUAAGCCAGUUUUUCCUGCCCUCUCUUGCACUCAUGCACUCUCUCUUCCCUGCCACCCUGUAAAAUAUGCCUGCUUCCUUUCUCCAUGGUUGUAAGUUUCCUGAGUCCCCCCAGCCAUGUAAAACUGGGGGUCAAUUAAACCACUUUUCUUCAUCAAUUA